rnacentral:lncRNA from 1 species
UUUAUAGUUUUAGUAUUUAAAAAAAAGGAUUAAUAAGACAACUGAAUAAAUUUGGAUCUUUAAGAGACUAAAAUAUAAGAAUUUUGCUACUAUAUUAUUGAUAAUACCAAGCACUUGAUGCUAUCGAGUUUUGGGUCGUUGGAUAAAAGGAUGCGCGACUAAAAUUAUAAUGGUCCCCUAGCUAGGGUUGAGUGGGCGGUUGGUUGAAAAGAAUAAUCUGAUGGUGAACAUGAUCAAAUUAACGGUAGAUCUAACAGUAAAAAACUCGAUAAUACCAAGAGCUUGGUACUAUCGAUAAUAUAGUAGCCGGACUAAAAAUAUUAACUUAUACCAAAUUAGAUUAUAGAUCUACAAAAUUUUAUAAUUAUUUUUAUGUCAUGAAAAUAUCUGUACAAA